GUAAGUCCGGAGCGGGCGCCCGGGCUGCCCGGCAGGAGCGCUGCCCGCCGCCUGCGCUCCGGGAGCCGGAGGGGGAGGUGACAGCGCUCCACCGCCCCUCUGCAGUGCCCAGAGGAGGGAGGCGGCGGUGGUGCUGAGGGGAGCGCGGGGUGUAUCGCGGUGCCUUCUGCUCUGGCCGGCCGUGUGUCCGCUCCGCUGGGCGAGCGCAGGGCGCGGGCGGCGGCCCGGGCGAGCGCCGAUCGCCGCUCCAGCCCGCGGCGGCGCUGCGGCCGCCGGGCCGAGCCCAGGGCUCCCCACAGGGCCUCCCGGAGCCGCGGUGCCGGGGAAGGAGGGCGAGGGGUCUGGGUAUGAGGGGUACGGCUGCGGCUUCCCGGGGCAGGGAGCGGAACGCUGAGCGAGCGGGGAAGGGGAGCCCUGCCCUCGCACUGAAUGCUCAUCCGUGGUGGACCGAGGACAGGCACCGGGCUGAAAUCCACCGCCUGGCUGCUGGCACUAUGCUGUGAUCUCUCUAUACAUGCCAGAAAAGAGACCCGAACGGACGGCGUCCCCGUUGUGGCAGGAACAUGACAAGGCUGAAGCUAUUGCGACAUUACAAAUCUUCCAGAAUGCCUGUGGAGAUACUCUUGGACCAGCCAACAUGCUGGAGGUCCAUUAAUAGCAGUAUCACAGGAGCCGUAUUCCCAGAUGUGAGACAUGAAAAGAGACCCUGGGCAAGUGCCCUUCCUGCUGUGCUAAAUGCUGAUAACCUUUUGGAGCUGUGCACUGUGAGAAUCACACAUGGGGAAGGAGGCUGGGGUAUGAGAGUGAACUUUGGUUCAUGGUUCUUUGGCUUCUGCUGUCAUAGCAACUGGAUACAAAACUGUCAGUCUCAUAGUAAAAGAUUAAAAUUUGCCUACCCAAAGAAGCAGAGUGGUGGGCGUUGUUCUGUUUCAAGAGUGAGUGUUGAUAUGUGUAGUUUGGACUGGCUUUGAAGCCAUCAACUGUACAUUGAAAUAAUAUUUUGGUAUUUUAUCUUCAUUUGCAGAAAUAUCAAUUAGACUGUGUCAUGACUGCACUCUUGCACAUGCAUUUAUACCUUUCAGUUAAUACAGUGGGAUUCUUCUCAACAGCUACCAAAAUUUCAGGAUCCAGCCUCAGCUUGUCAUACCCUACCUCUGUGGUGCACAGGUACUUAGCACUCCAAACCAUCUCUUUCUAGGAAAAGUGACAUAAAUUGCCUUUUGCAGGUGCUUUAUUUUCUUUGUUAACUCCACUGAGAGGCAGCACAGAUGCCUACCUUUCACUAGAGGACUGUCUUCCAGAUGACUGAAGUCAGGUGAAGUAAAACCCAUUUGAAUGUGACAAAGGUACAUAUAAACACUGAAUGAGAACAGGCAGCCAGAGACAGCAAACCAACACAUACUCAGCAUCUCAGUAACAAAUAAUAAUUGAACAUGAACGUUUCUAAUCUGAAAGUAAGAAUCUGACAUCAGUUCCUGGCUGAAUUCUUACCUGGCUUUUUACAUAUUUUUUUUUAGAAUAGCAUAGUAAAUAUAGCUUUUUGAAGAUGCUUUGUUACCAGGUACUAUUAUCUUUUUAUUAUGCCUGGCCAGAGUAAUCGAAUUAGGACACUUAAUACUAAUGCUUUGUGUAAUCAUAGAUAUUCUUGUGUAGACUGUGGGCCAGUAAAAGCCUUAAAUUCAUAUAGUAUGGCAGUUCCAUAGGCAUUUUUAGAGAAAGAAAUCUGUCAUUUUAUGAUGCUCCCUGUUCUGAAGGAAAUGGCAGACAUAUGUAAUGCAGACAGGAAAGCUAUACUAUCUAAACUUUAAAACCAAGUAAUCUGUAAAACCAGUCAUUGUAAAGACUUAAUUUUUUUGAAAACCCUGUUGUUUUAGUCCUAGAGAAUCUGCAUUGUAUAUAUAUUUUCAACUGACAUGAAGAAACACUUUUUUUUUUGUUCCUGAGUUCUAAGAUUUUUUAUUUUUUCUUCUGAGACACUAGAUAAUCCCCAGAAGAAGAUGCUUUGGGAUUUCCUGGAUACCAAGCAGCACAAACAUUUAGCCCUGCAGCUGGACCAAUAGCAUCUCUCGUCAUUUAUAAGAUGCAUAAAAUUUGAUCCCAGAUAAUUUAAAUGAAGACAGGUAGAAUCCUAAACCAAACACAUAAUAUUUAAAUACUUCUGCAGAUGUCACAAGUUUUUAUCCAAGUGAAUUAAAAACUCAUCACUAUAAUUUUUUUGCGACUCGUCAAGUAGGAUUUUUAGUGAUUUGGAAUCUUUUAAAAGAUACUUUAAAGUGCUGUGUCUCGUCUUCAAAAUGGUUUAAAAUUCAUCAAAUUAGAAUCUUUUUUUUAGAUAAGAGCUGAAGGUUCUAUGAUUUUUCUGCAGUGCUUGAUAUUACUCAUAUCCAAAUGGCAACAAUGUGUAAAGAAAUGUGAUAAUAAAAUCCAUUGAGUAAGGCGGUGUUCAUACAUAGCUGGUGAUGCAAUGUUUUAAGGGAAGAUAUUUUGUCAUUGUGAUCUCCUACUUAUUGAUUGUUAUUUCUAAAGAUAGUUAUGAUUCUGUCAUGUAGUAACUCUUGCAGUACUCUGGGUACUUGUAUUUUAAACUGUUACAUUCUUUUUUUUCAGCCUUGAGCCUUUGAAACAGGCAUUUUGUAAAAUACAUUUCUAUAUCCUGGUGCUUACCAACACUGUACAACUCUAUAUAAAAACAUUGCAAUCAUUACAGAUUUUCUCCAUGUCUGUAUUUAUAGCAUUAUCAAGAAGUCCCUCUGCUUAGGUUGAAUCUUUGCACCAGAUUCUACCUGUCAUUUUUGGCACCUGUGUCAAAUAGAGCUUUUUUCAGGCCUAUUUUAUAAUUGACCCAUACAGAGUGCUAAACCCUGUAUGUUUUCAAUUUUGCUGAGUAAUUUAGUGUGGUGGACAUGGUAUAUCAAAGUGCAAAAUUAGAUAAUAGAUAUAAAAUUUAAAUAGCAGAUAAGAUUUUCUUUCUUGCCAAUUAAGAAAAAAAAUCUAGAAGCCUAAAGGACACUGAAUUGCAUAGAACAAUAGAAGCAAGAAUAUUGCAACUGAUACAACAAUUCUGCUGAAGCCACACAUAUGAAGUCAAACCUAUAUUUAUCAAGGCAGUUAACAAAAACUACUGGUUGCUAUUAUGUACUGAAAACUUUUGCAGUAUAUUGAGCCUGUAGCAUUAGAAAAACACCAUUAAAUACAAUAUUUGUCUAUGCUGCAAUACUCAGAUGAGAUCAAGAUAAGGAGGAGAACCUUAGACAAUAUUUUCUACUUCGAUGAAUAAGACAAUGCCAAUGCAUUAGUUAUUUUAAAAUGAAAUUUUCUUUAUUAAAAAGGAUUCACUUUUCUGGAAUGGGUAUGUAUGAAAUAUUCAAAUCAGAAUAUGGAAAGGACUGUUAUCUACAGUUGCUCUUUUACUGACAAAUGGGCCCAAUUCAAGAAAAUACUAGAUAUGCUUAUUAUCAGCCCUAUUCAUGGCUUCACUUAAUCUAAAAUAUGACUUGAAACAAUCACAAAGUUAAGCACGUGUUUAAGUGUUGCUUGAAUAAAUAUGACUUCACAAAUCAUAAGAAAAUGUGUAGAGAUGAAUCAGAAAAAAAGAAAUUUGAAAUGCUAAUGUGCAAGUACCUGUGCUUAAAAUUUAUUUGCAACAAAGGGAAAAUUGAGGAAAAGUAAAACCUCAUUCACCCUUUUUCUCAAAGUCAAUCCUGAUUCCGCCAUCAGGGCUUUUCUCAUACUUUAACCAAAACCAACUGCAGAAUGAAAAUUUUGUGGCAACUUCAGAGAAAAUGAUCAAAGUAUGAAUUUCUAAAUUAAUAAAAUCUUAAAAAGCAGGACUACCACUGAAGUCUUUCUAGUACUAUCUGUGAUUAAAAUGAUCAAAUAUGUGUUGAAUUUUAAAAAUCAGAGGAAUAUUCAAAUUUUUUUUAAGAUAUCAUCAAAACCAAGGACAAGAUUGUUGUGGUAGAAUUGUAUUGUUUCUGUUUGUAGUCUGAAGUUUAAAAUAUUUAUUUUAUUAUUAUUCCUAGUAGCAGAUUCUUAUAUUAGUUAUGGAUUAAAAAUUUUCUAGCUCGUCUGUAUUUGUUUUUCUUCUGUGUUAGAAAGGGAUAUUAUGGUGAAGCUUAAGAAAUACUGUAAACUUUUGUUCUCUGUUCAUUUUCCUGGGAGGUAUAUGCAAACAUCUCAGCAAAGAGGGGAAAAAAGCAAUGUCACAGGUGCAAAAUAGCUUGGAGUCAGAGGAGAGAAAGAAGGAAAAAAAGCAAAAAAGAAAAAAGAGAUUUUCCCAACGAACAGAAACUUCACAGACACAGCAUUUGUAUCUGGGUGCCAAAACCUAGUUUUCUCAGUCCAUAUUUAGGCACUUGCACAUAGGUGGCCUACUUGUCAGUAAUACUAAACAUUCACCAAUGAAAAAGAGAUUGCUAGGUACUUUUGAAAACCAAGCAGCUUAUACAAAGUUGCCUGAGUAUCUGGAGAGACAAAGCAUAAAAUUUCCAGCCUUUAGUUUGAAAGAUCACACACCCAUAUUUUAUCCACUACGAUGUGUUCUUGUGAUCUUAAUUGCAGGUUUAAUACAUCUAGGCCUGUGAAUUAUAUGUGAGGUCUCAGGCAGAGGAAUUACUCUCAGCUAAAUUAAGAGACAGCACACUGCAGCUGCUCUUGCUGACCAUAGCAUCAACAGGACAGCCAGUCUGUACAUCAGGGGUUGUUCCUAGUGUAAAUCUGUGUUUGCAAGGUGCAUACAGGCAACUAUUUCAUGUGGCUUGCAUUAAGAAUGUUGUUUUUUUCAGGCAGAAGAGAAGACUGCAAAUCUGUCUGUAGUUGAAAGUACAGUAAGAUAGUUCUUGCUCAGCCUACUGAGAAACAUGAUAAGGAGUCUUGCAUGCUCAAGACACUUCUGUUUAUCCAAGUGACCACUGGUGAGUGUCACUAAGGAUUUUGAUUUUUUUUCAGGCCCUCUAGUGCUUCUAGAACAGAAAAUGAAUCCCUAAUGUGUCUUAACAAUAAAUACUGGAGAGUAACUAUCUUGGGAAUAUGGUGUGUGGAAAGACCAGCAGGGACUGCAAAGCUGGAAGAGACAAAAACAUGCCAUAAAGUUCACCUAAGUUUCUUAAGAAAGUGUGUGCAAUUUUUAGAAAUGUACUGCAGUUGAUUAAAGUUAUCCUGUAAAUACAGUGCAUUUGAAAACUACUUACUUACUACAAUGUACAAGCCUAAUGCUUUCAGUUAGGAGGAAAUAGAAAACCAGCUUUCCAAUCCCCAUCAGCAAGUGGCCUGUCACAUGCCUGAGUAACCUGUGUGCAAAGGCUCUUGUGCCAUGUUUUCUGCUAACAGGAAUCUGUUUGCCCAGAUCAUCAAGAAACACUGACAAGAGAGCUUCACACCUGUUCUCAUUUCUUUGGGUAAAAUUCAUAACCUGUUUUGUCUCCAUACUCAUUAUCUCAGACCUGUUUUACCCUUCCCCCUUUGCAGCAUGCAAACCCUGAGGUUGAAAGCAAAGAGAUGAACUGCAGAGCAUCCCCCAGGGCAGGCUGCUCAGCCUGGAUUGUGCACCUUGAUCACACAAAUGGACAUGCACACCUUCUGGAGUCAAAAAGGAGUCAAAGAGCCAACACACAGCAUAAGAACCAUCAGUCUGUGCAGAUCAGCUUACAGGGUAGAGACAUUUUAGAGCACAAUGCAAGAUCACUUUCUUUGUGCUCCCUAGUAGAAACAGUCUUUAGAAUUCACUGACAUUUAAUCAUGUGCCUCAUAUCACUUCUUUUCAGAGCAGCUAUUUUGGUGCUAUGUGGGGGUUGUCACAGAAAUGGUUGCCUAAUUCUGAUCUAAAUUUUGUAAUGUGCACCCAGAUCUUCUACAGAUAAGUAUUUUACAUCCAAAUGCAAUAAUAAUGAAGGAAUUUAAAGUGAUUCCAUUUAAUGAAAGAGCAGUAACAUACUUAGCAAAUAUUCCUAGCGCUUGCAAAAAAGAAACAGCACAAUUUCCACAAAGCCCUUGGAAAAAUUGUUCCCACUGCCCAACCUAUUGCUUUAGUUUCUGCAGCUGCAGGUGAAGGGAAUUUUAGUCCAAUUCAAAAAACCAGGACUUGUUCCAUGUAAACAUUGGUGUUGGUAUUUUCAAAUCACAGCAGGCCUUAUAAAAUGCCUGGGGUUCAGAACUAUGUCAGAGCUUAGCAGCCAGAAUAAUAUCAGUGAAACUGUCAGGAAGCUUGCUGGCUUCAUGCAGCAAGGAACACAGAGCUAUAUGAGAUUUUUCCUUUGACUUGCAGUGGAGCAGUAAGAAAGAGGUGAGGAAAGGGGCUGCUCACUUUAUGUUCCAUGAAAUACUUUUGUGACUGUAGAUUUAAAUCAGUCCAGUGAGUACCUUAUGAGUGGUUUUAAGAUGAUACAAAUGUCCUAUUAAAGGCUUCUUGUAUUUCUCUGCUGA